rnacentral:rRNA from 1 species
UACGGAGGAUGCGAGCGUUAUCCGGAUUUAUUGGGUUUAAAGGGUGCGUAGGCGGGCUGUUAAGUCAGCGGUCAAAUGUCGGGGCUCAACCCCGGCCUGCCGUUGAAACUGGCGGCCUCGAGUGGGCGAGAAGUAUGCGGAAUGCGUGGUGUAGCGGUGAAAUGCGUAGAUAUCGAGAGGAACACUCGUGACGAAGGCGGGUUCCUGGACAUUAACUGACGCUGAGGCACGAAGGCCAGGGGAGCGAAAGGG